AUUGAACGCUGGCGGCAGGCCUAACACAUGCAAGUCGAACGAGUGGCGGACGGGUGAGUAAUGUCUGGGAAACUGCCUGAUGGAGGGGGAUAACUACUGGAAACGGUAGCUAAUACCGCAUACCAUCAGAUGUGCCCAGAUGGGAUUAGCUUGUUGGUGGGGUAACGGCUCACCAAGGCGACGAUCCCUAGCUGGUCUGCGAGGAUGAACAGCCACACUGGAACUGAGACACGGGCCAGACGCCUACGGUAGGCAGCAGUGGGGAAUAUUGCACAAUGGGCGCAAGCCUGAUGUAGCCAUGCCGCGUGUAUGAAGAAGGCCGUCGGGUUGUAAAGUACUUUCGUCGGGGAGGCGUUACCCGCACAGGAAGCACCGGCUAACUCCGUGCCAGCAGCCUCGGUAAUAC
rnacentral:rRNA from 1 species